UACGGAGGGUGCAAACGUUGAUCGGAAUCAUUGGGCGUAAAGCGCACGUAGGCGGUUCGUUAAGUCGGAUGUGAAAGCCUCGGGCUUAACCCGGGAAGUGCAUCCGAAACUGGCGGGCUUGAGUACGGAAGAGGGUCGUGGAAUUCCCGGUGUAGAGGUGAAAUUCGUAGAUAUCGGGAGGAACACCAGUGGCGAAGGCGGAGACCUGGGCCGAUACUGACGCUGAGGUGCGAAAGCGUGGGGAGCAAACAGG
rnacentral:rRNA from 1 species